UACGGAGGAUGCAAGCGUUAUCCGGAUUCAUUGGGUUUAAAGGGUGCGUAGGCGGACUAUUAAGUCAGUGGUGAAAGCCUGCAGCUUAACUGCAGAACUGCCAUUGAUACUGAUAGUCUUGAGUUUGGUUAAGGUAGGCGGAAUGUGUAAUGUAGCGGUGAAAUGCUUAGAUAUUACACAGAACACCAAUUGCGCAGGCAGCUUACUAAACCAUAACUGACGCUCAGGCACGAAGGCGUGGGGAUCAAACAGGA
rnacentral:rRNA from 1 species